CGGCGAUGUCAGCCAGGCGACGGUCUGAGAGGAGGACUAAGGCGCUAGUGCAGAUUUGUUGAACUUUCAAGAACACCUUUUCAUACUGUGAGUGCUGGAGAACUAACCCAACAUUACAGCCCUCUCAUGAAGGUGCUUCAGCUAUAAAAGAGUCCUCAGUUUGCUGUUGUACUUUUGAAAGAAAGGGAAAACUCUGUUUGAGAACCCUACCUUUUUCAUCAGUAACUUGUGAGAGUCCUAUGUGUGACAUACAAUUCUGAAACAGUUCAAGCCCUGCAGAGAGCAGGCAGCUCCAGGAGCACCUAGCAUAUUGGCUGGCACAGCAAAGUGGCAAGUGUCAGGGAGCAACUGUUAAAAGCAUUAGAAGCAGUAUAACUCCACAGUAUUUUGUUCUUUUAUGAGUUAUUUUAUCUGUUUAAUUCAUGGAGAAGGUGGGAAAUGAAAAUGAGAGCUAAGGACAAUGGGACUGUCUAGAGAUACCUAAUACCACUCUCAGUGUGCAGAUAUAUAAUCUGAAAGAAGAAACAGAAAUUAUGAGUUUUUUUCAAAUCAAUUCUAAUCUUCAGGGAACUGGGGAAAUUGUUUUCUGUUACAUUUGUGACAUAAUCUCAUCUGCAAGACAUUUAAAUACCUAUUACCCCUUAAGCAUGUAACUUCUGCUCAUUUAGCUAUCAAAAUUAUUUUGUUGAUUUUAGUCUUUCACCUUUAAUGUAAAGGGUAAAAAUAAAAUAAAAAGGAAAUCUUUGUAAUGCCUGCAAACAUAAUAAGUGUGAAGUGUCAGAAAGUUUCUCUUUUUCCUACCACUUAAUAUAUUACAGUAUAAACCCUUUGUAAAUGAUCUGUGCACUUUCAUAUUUCAACUUUCUUACUUAUGCUGCAUGUUAGAUGGAAGUACUAACUUUAAAAUUAGUCAUCCUAAUGUGCACAGCACUGGAAAAAGAUGAAUUUUUGAACAUAACAGGCUUUACAUUAAACUCCAGCACAGAUUAGAUGAAUUGUGGAAUUAUGCCUAAUACUCUUAAAGUGUUUUAGUGAUCAAACACAGAGUAGACCUAUGCUGACAUUAGGUCUAACACAUCCAAGGUAGACAUAAUAGAGAUCCAGGGCCUUACAGACCUGUGGUUCUACUGGUUUAUAUCAAAAUUUCUACAGUGUAAAAAAUCUUGACCAAAAAUACCCAUGUUUUUCUAUAGUCAGCAGUAUUUCUGGUGGUGUUUCUGGACAGUUUCUGUGCCUGCUUAGUCCACAUUAGGUGUAUGUGUCUGCUGCAAUACUUUGUAGCCCUCUUACACUCCAAGUAGAUUGGACUGCCACUUGUGGAGCAGGUAAAUGUCCCUUAGAUGAAGCUGUGACCCGUGAAGAGCCUAUGCUGGAACUCCUAGAAGGAAUUGUGGCCCACGGAGAGAAGCCCACACAGGAGCAGGUUUGCUGGAAGAUCUGUGACCCUAUGGAGGGCCCACGCUGGAGCAGUCUUUUCCUGAAGGAUGGCACCUUGGGGAAAGGAUCCAUAACAGAGCAGUUCCUGAAGAACUGCAGCCCAGUGGGAAGGACUGACAUUGAAGUUUGUCAAGGACUGUCUCCUUUGGUUGAGAACCCAUGAUGGACCAGGGCAAAAGGAUGAAGAGGAAGGAGCAGCAAAGAAUUACCAACUGACUGCAACUGACUCUCUUGAUUGAUUGGCGAUAAAUGAAAUUAUUUUUUCCCAAGUCCAGUCUGUUUUCCCCAUGCCAGUAAUUGGGGUGGCUCACUUGCAGACCACAACAGUCUGUAUCAUCUAGUAAUAGGAAGAGUAUGAUUUCCUUAGGAAACAGGUGAAGAUGACCUUCAGAUUAGACCCUGGGCAUAGCUGUGUGCUGUAUUACUCGACAGAUGCUGUUCCUGAAAGGUGUUACUCACUGCUUUGUUCUGCUUAGUGUACGACUACAGAUCAAUAUUACCCUGUCUGAAUACAUGUUAUAUCCUGGCCGACUACACAACACAGUUGGAAGCUUCCCUGCAACUAGAUUCAAGCACAGAUCCCCAUUUAUCAUGAAAGCUGAAUUUGAUGACUUGCUGAAGGUUUCAGGAAGCCCCAGAGAAAUUACGGCUGCAUUUCAUGAUCAGGUAGUUUGGACACACAGGAUUUAUGUACUGUAAUAAACAUGAUCUGGCUAUCUAGAUACGCUGCUGUUUGAAGUUUUAAUGGCUAAAGGGCAGGAACAACUACAGGGCUCACAAAGUAUAUGAUGGCAUAUUCUCAAGCAUAUAGCGUCCUUUCUGGACUUUCCUCUUGAGCUUUGC